AGACAGGCAGCUCCUAAUGUUUAAAGGUAUAAGCUUUUAUAAGUUUCCAGGUACUAAACUGGCACUAUUUAAUUUUCCUAAUCUUAGGGUAGACAGCUAACAAAAUUAGAAUCUCAAAUUCAUCCAUGCCAUUAACCAAAGGUUAUGUACACACACACAAACACACACACACACACACACUGAAAUGGUCCCCUACUUAUGAUCGUUAGAAUUUUCUGACUUUAUGAAAUGGUUCAAUGACUAUAUAAAUUUUGAUCUUUUCCUAGGUUAAUGACAUGAAGUAUAGUACCCUCUUGUGGUCCUAUACAGUCGCAGUGGACCACAGCGCUCCAUCAGCCAUGCCAUCAUGAAGUUAUUGCAAAGAUUAAAAAAGAAGUCAACAGCACAUCCGGCACAGGACCGGGCAUAGAUACCCAGCACCUGGACCAUACCCCUCCAGCUGCAACGACUGUAAAUUCAAAGAAUGCAAUCGAGCCAAUGUUUCUAUCAUAGCCACAUAUAUGGCUGAGCGUUCUGCUGGGCUAACUCCAGGAAGUGUAAAGUCACGAAAGAUUCGGCCCUGUGGAAGUAAUUACAAUGGGUAAUUUAAAUGCUUGAAACCAAAACUAAUACUUUGUAGAAUAUGUCAGAAAUACAUUCGUUUGUGAAACAUAUUUAAUAUAAGAGUAUACAUUCAGAGGGAAAAUAUAAGGAUGUGCCAAGAUGAACGUAAAGGUCAAAACUACUCUUCACUUUAAUGUUACAAAAAACAAAAUAAAA